CAAUGAUCACAGAGGGAACCUAUCAGUCUGUUUCUUUCUCCUGCCAUCACAACUCAAACUCAUUAAUGAGCUUCCUUGGUUAGCUUCCAUUCACAGCUUCAGAGGCUGAAGCAAAGUCUCCUCAAACUCCUAUGUAAGAGUGUCUGGAAAGCUCAGAAAUUUCCAACAACCCUUCCAGGAUAUCUCCCAGGAAAAUUUCACCAUCCUACAGAAGCCCUUGACCUGAUGUCCUGCAGUGCCACGCUCCGUGUAUUUGACAAGCUGAGUUGGACACUCCAUGUGGUAGAGUGUCAGUUUGUCAAAUACCCCAAGUGCGGCACAUGCCUAGCAGCUCCAAACUGGGGCAGGUUGGACACAAGAAAUAGACUGAUUGCUGGAUAUCAGAAUGUUCAUGCAAAACCAAACUUUUUCCAAAUUAUAUUUCUGAGAUUUUGAGGGAAUCAAGGCGUUGCAUCUGAGGGUGUUGGGGGGGGGAGUGAGGCAGGCCUCUGAGCUUCAGUCCUGGGCUGAGUCUAUACACACUGAGAACACUGAGAAGCACAUAAUGAUCUUGAAAAAGAAUAAUAAUAUGGGGACACAGGUGUUCUAGAACUUUUUUGAUUGUUUUCUUCCUUCACAUUUCUUUUCCAGUCUAACAGUCAGAACACCAUAAUUCUGACAAAAGUACUGUGGCUUAUGUGACAAAGAAGGACACAGAAAUCUACUUUCUUGUCACUAAUUCUUACCUUCUGAACAAACUUUGACCUUACUCAUCUCCUUUUUCCUCCUUCCUUUUAUCCUUCUCAGAACAACCCUGUUUCUCCAUGCCUGCCCAGUUCUUCUCCAUAUUUCCUGGUCCCACCAAAGUUCAGCCUCUCUGGGGAUUUUUUUUAAAAGUUAAGCUAUGCUUUUUCUUUCUUCAUUUACAAAAAAAAAACCUCCUUGCCUGGGUCCUGGUAUGUGCUACUAUAUCUCUUACCAUACAAUAUAACCUUUUAGAAUGUUAUUGAUAUUUUUCAGUGGGGUAUUCUUGAAUUCUUCAUUACAUGUGAGCUUCUAGAAGGUAAAACUCUUUCCUUGACUGCUGCAUCCCCUAGUAUAGCCCAUUAUUUUGUUUU